rnacentral:rRNA from 1 species
AUACGGAGGGUGCAAGCGUUACUCGGAAUCACUGGGCGUAAAGCGCGCGCAGGCGGUCUUUUAAGUUGGAUGUGAAAGCCUACGGCUCAACCGUAGAACUGCAUCCAAAACUAUUAGACUAGAGUGUGCGAGAGGAAGAUGGAAUUAGUUGUGUAGGGGUAAAAUCCGUAGAGAUAACUAGGAAUACCAAAAGCGAAGGCAAUCUUCUGGAACACUACUGACGCUGAGGCGCGAAAGCGUGGGGAGCAAACAGUAUUAGAUACCCCAGUAGUCC